GGGGCCGUAGCCCAAUUGGCAGAGGCACACGGUUUAGGUCCGUGCCAGUGUCGGUUCGAGUCCGACCGGCCCUAC
rnacentral:tRNA from 1 species